AAGGAGUUUGGAUCCUGGCUCAGAACGAACGCUGGCGGCGUGGAUAAGACAUGCAAGUCGAACGGGACUUAAUCUGUAGCAAUACAGGUUAAGUUUAGUGGCGAACGGGUGCGUAACACGUGGGCAAUCUGCCGAGAAGUGGGGGAUAGCUCGCCGAAAGGCGAAUUAAUACCGCAUAUGAUCAGGGACGACAUCUUCCCAACAUCAAAGCCGGGGUAACCUGGCGCUUCUUGAUGAGCCCGCGGCCUAUCAGCUAGUUGGUGAGGUAACGGCUCACCAAGGCUUUGACGGGUAGCUGGUCUGAGAGGACGACCAGUCACACUGGAACUGAGACACGGUCCAGACACCUACGGGUGGCAGCAGUCGAGAAUUUUUCUCAAUGGGGGCAACCCUGAAGGAGCGACGCCGCGUGGAGGAUGAAGGCUUUCGGGUUGUAAACUCCUGUCAUUUGAGAACAAGUGUAGCUAAGUAACUACUGGCUACUUGAUAGUAUCAGAAGAGGAAGAGACGGCUAACUCUGUGCCAGCAGCCGCGGUAAUACAGAGGUCUCAAGCGUUGUUCGGAUUCAUUGGGCGUAAAGGGUGCGUAGGUGGCGGGGUAAGUCAGGUGUGAAAUUUCGGAGCUUAACUCCGAAACUGCAUUUGAUACUGCCUUGCUUGAGGACUGGAGAGGAGACUGGAAUUCACGGUGUACAGGAAAAUGC
rnacentral:rRNA from 1 species